rnacentral:miRNA from 8 species
CGGGUGGAAGCGCUGUCUGCACC